rnacentral:rRNA from 1 species
AUUGAACGCUGGCGGCAUGCCUAACACAUGCAAGUCGAACGGCAGCAUGAUAAGAGCUUGCUCUUAUUGAUGGCGAGUGGCGGACGGGGGAGUAAUAUGUAGGAAUCUACCUAGAGGUGCGGGAUAACUUGGGGAAACUCAAGCUAAUACCACAUAAGCUCCACUGGGGAAAGGCGGGGAUCUUAGGAACUUGCGCCUUAUGAUGAGCCUACCUCGGAUUAGCUAGUUGGUGGGUUAAAGGCCUACCAAGGCGACGAUUCGUAGCUGGUCUGGGAGGAUGAUCAGCCACACUGGGACUGAGACACGUCCCAAACUCCUACGGGAGGCAGCAGUGGGGAAUAUGGGACAAUGGGCGCAAGCCUGAUCCAGCAAUGCCGCGUGCAGGAUGAAGGCCUUCGGGUUGUAAACUGCUUUUGUACGGAACGAAAAGGUUUGGCCUAAUACGCUGAACUCAUGACGGUACCGUAAGAAUAAGCACCGGCUAACUACGUGCCAGCAGCCGCCGUAAGAC